GUGGGGAAUCUUGCGCAAUGGGCGAAAGCCUGACGCAGCAACGCCGCGUGGGGGAUGAAGGCUCUCGGGUUGUAAACCCCUUUCAGCAGGGACGAAUCAAGACGGUACCUGCAGAAGAAGCCCCGGCUAACUACGUGCCAGCAGCCGCGGUAACACGUAGGGGGCAAGCGUUGUCCGGAUUUAUUGGGCGUAAAGAGCUCGUAGGUGGCUGAGUAAGUCGGAUGUCAAAUCCCCAGGCUCAACCUGGGAUCCCAUCCGAUACUGCUCUGGCUAGAGUCCGGUAGGGGAGCGUGGAAUUCCUGGUGUAGCGGUGAAAUGCGCAGAUAUCAGGAGGAACACCAGCGGCGAAGGCGGCGCUCAGGGCCGGUACUGACACUGAGGAGCGAAAGCGUGGGUAGCAAACAGGAUUAGAUACCCGGGUAGUCC
rnacentral:rRNA from 1 species